UUCAGGUCUUGAUACAUGUGGACUACACAAAUGUCCAGAAUCUGUGUAGCAGCAACGGACUCAGGCAUAAGUGCUGGAGUGAAGGUGAGAGGACGGCUGGGGGACGUGUCCAGGAUGAAGCUCUACUAAGGUGCAGCAGGAGGGAUGGCUGACCUUUAUUGAUUGGAGCUGGAAGGUCCAGACCACUACACAUUCCCUCAGACAACCACAGAGACCA